GACGAACGCUGGCGGCGUGCCUAAUACAUGCAAGUCGAGCGCAGAAGGGAGGUACUUGUACCAACUGCAUUAGCAGCGAACGGGUGAGUAACGCGUGGAGAAUCUGCCUUUGAGCGGGGGACAACAUUUGGAAACGAAUGCUAAUACCGCAUAAAAACUUUAAACACAAGGUUUAAGUGUGAAAGAUGCAUUUGCAUCACUCAAAGAUUAUCCCCCGUUGGAUUAGCUAGUUGGGUAGGGAAAGGCCCACCAAGGCGAUGAUACAUAACCGACCUGAGAGGGUGAUCGGGCACAAUGGGACUUAGACACGGCCCAAACCUCUACGGGAGGCAGGAGUAGGGAAACUUCCGGCAAGGACGAAAGGCUGACCGAGCAACCCCCGCGGAGGGAAGAAGGGUUUUCGAACGGAAAACUCUGUUUGUUGGGAAGAACGUUGGUGAGAGUGGAAAGCGCAUCAAGUGACGGUACCUACCCAGAAAGGGACGGCUAACUACGUG
rnacentral:rRNA from 1 species